rnacentral:rRNA from 1 species
AACGAACGCUGGCGGCAGGCCUAACACAUGCAAGUCGAACGCUGUAGCAAUACAGAGUGGCAGACGGGUGAGUAACGCGUGGGAACAUUCCUAGUGGUACGGAAUAGCUCAGGGAAACUUGGGGUAAUACCGUAUACGCCCUUACGGGAAGAUUUAUCGCCAUUAGAUUGGCCCGCGUAGGAUUAGCUAGUUGGUGAGGUAAUGGCUCACCAAGGCGACGAUCCUUAGCUGGUUUGAGAGAAUGACCAGCCACACUGGGACUGAGACACGGCCCAGACUCCUACGGGAGGCAGCAGUGGGGAAUCUUGGACAAUGGGCGCAAGCCUGAUCCAGCCAUGCCGCGUGAGUGACGAAGGCCUUAGGGUUGUAAAGCUCUUUUGUCCGGGGACGGAUAAUGACGGUACCCGGAGAAUAAGUCCCGGCUAACUUCGUGCCAGCAGCCGCGGUAAU